CGUGCGCCGGAAGCCAAGGCAAAUGCUUUGUCCUCCCGGAAGAAGCUUGGGGUUGGCAAUACAAACCUCACUCCAAGCAGCGUUGUGGUGUGAGGCUCAUUCUCGGAGAGGCGCCUGUCAAAGAUGCACCGCUGGGCAAGGCUUGUGCCCAAAUGACCUCCUUCUGGCCUGUGAUCACUGCCAGCUCUGCAGACCUGGUUCCCUCCUGAAUGAAGCUGCUGCCAUCACUAUGGAGAUCUGUAUUUCUGGAAACCAACACCCAGAGAAUCCAGAAUCAUCCUCUUGCUCCUCCGAAUGACACCAUCCGUCAGGUGGUCCACCUUCAAGCCGUGAAUCAGGCUGGCUAAGCUCUCUGUGACAGACUUCAAAGAGAAGAAGGUUAGA